rnacentral:rRNA from 1 species
UACGGAGGGUGCGAGCGUUGUUCGGAAUCACUGGGCGUAAAGCGCGUGUAGGCGGCCCAUUAAGUCUGAUGUGAAAGCCCGGGGCUCACCCCCGGAAGUGCAUUGGAAACUGAUGGGCUGGAGUCCCGGAGAGGAGGGUGGAAUUCCUGGUGUAGCGAUGAAAUGCGUAGAUAUCAGGAGGAACACCGGUGGCGAAGGCGGCCCUCUGGACGGUGACUGACGCGGAGACGCGAAAGCGUGGGGAGCAAACAGG